UGGGGAAUUUUGGACAAUGGGCGAAAGCCUGAUCCAGCAAUGCCGCGUGUGUGAAGAAGGCCUUCGGGUUGUAAAGCACUUUUGUCCGGAAAGAAAUCCUUGGCUCUAAUACAGUCGGGGGAUGACGGUACCGGAAGAAUAAGCACCGGCUAACUACGUGCCAGCAGCCGCGGUAAUACGUAGGGUGCAAGCGUUAAUCGGAAUUACUGGGCGUAAAGCAUGCGCAGGCGGUUUGCUAAGACCGAUGUGAAAUCCCCGGGCUCAACCUGGGAACUGCAUUGGUGACUGGCAGGCUAGAGUAUGGCAGAGGGGGGUAGAAUUCCACGUGUAGCAGUGAAAUGCGUAGAGAUGUGGAGGAAUACCGAUGGCGAAGGCAGCCCCCUGGGCCAAUACUGACGCUCAUGCACGAAAGCGUGGGGGAGCAAACAGGAUUCAGAUACCCUGGUAGUCCACGCCCUAAACGAUGUCAACUAGUUGUUGGGGAUUCAUUUCCUUAGUAACGUAGCUAACGCGUGAAGUUGACCGCCUGGGGAGUACGGUCGCAAGAUUAAAACUCAAAUGAAUUGACGGGG
rnacentral:rRNA from 1 species